CGUACACUCCUACGGGAGGCAGCAGUGGGGAAUAUUGGACAAUGGGCGCAAGCCUGAUCCAGCCAUGCCGCGUGAGUGAUGAAGGCCCUAGGGUUGUAAAGCUCUUUCACCGGUGAAGAUAAUGACGGUAACCGGAGAAGAAGCCCCGGCUAACUUCGUGCCAGCAGCCGCGGUAAUACGAAGGGGGCUAGCGUUGUUCGGAUUUACUGGGCGUAAAGCGCACGUAGGCGGACUAUUAAGUCAGGGGUGAAAUCCCGGGGCUCAACCCCGGAACUGCCUUUGAUACUGGUAGUCUUGAGUUUGAGAGAGGUGAGUGGAAUUCCGAGUGUAGAGGUGAAAUUCGUAGAUAUUCGGAGGAACACCAGUGGCGAAGGCGGCUCACUGGCUCGAUACUGACGCUGAGGUGCGAAAGCGUGGGGAGCAAACAGGAUUAGAAACCCUAGUAGUCCCAUG
rnacentral:rRNA from 1 species